AGUCAGGGCCCUACGCUCCUGGUGAAUCCAGGCUCUGUUCACAAAGCUGGCGUCUUGGAGGAGGCAGCCCCUGCAUUCUCCUGUGCUCCUCUCUGGCACUUGACCUAGCGGGAAGUGCCACUGCCCACAAGCAUUCCAUCAACUUGUGAGUUUCACUUCUUUGCCAAAAACUGGCAAAGAGAAAUGUGACAGGGAAUUGAACUUAGGCGUUUCAUUUGCUGGAAGGUGAAUCUCAGGCAGCGAGUAUGACGAGGAGGAGGUGGACUAUGAGGAGUCGGACAGCGAUGAGUCCUGGACCACAGAGAGUGCCAUCAGCUCCGAAGCCAUCCUCAGCUCCAUGUGCAUGAAUGGAGGGGAAGAGAAGCCUUUUGCCUGCCCAGUUCCUGGAUGUAAAAAGAGAUACAAGAAUGUGAAUGGCAUAAAGUAUCACGCUAAGAAUGGUCACAGAACACAGAUUCGUGUCCGCAAACCAUUCAAAUGUCGCUGUGGGAAGAGUUACAAGACAGCUCAGGGCCUGCGGCACCACACAAUCAAUUUCCAUCCCCCGGUGUCGGCUGAGAUUAUCAGGAAGAUGCAGC
rnacentral:sRNA from 1 species